rnacentral:misc_RNA from 1 species
UCUCCUUAGGUGAACCUGCGGAGGGAUCAUUAACAGAGAUGGCGGGCCCCGAGCCCCCGUCCCCAACCCUUUGUUGACCAAAACCUUUUUGCCUCGGGGGCAGAGUGGCCGUCAGGCCGCCGCCCCCGGAGGACCACCAAACUCUGUCUCUUUACGGCGGAGUCUUUGAUAAAUAAAUCAAAACUUUCAACAACGGAUCUCUUGGUUCUGGCAUCGAUGAAGAACGCAGC